rnacentral:rRNA from 1 species
CUCGUAGUUGACUUUCUGGUCGUGGGCUUCGGUCCGUCCCUCACGGGAGGUGUUACUGGGGUUCCGCAGCCAUCUUCGGGGCGUUUUCAUAUCUUCUUUACUGCGGGUAUGGGGAUCCUCGUCAUUUACUGUGAGUAAAAUAGAGUGUUCAAAGCAGGCUGUAAGCCGUUGAAUAUAUUAGCAUGGAAUAAUAAGAUAAGACUUUGGUCUAUUUUGUUGGUUUGUGUCCAAAGAAAUGAGCAAUAGGGACAGUUGGGGGUAUUCGUAUUCAAUUGUCAGAGGUGAAAUUCUUGGAUUUAUGGAAGACGAACUACUGCGAAAGCAUUUUACCAAGGAUGUUUUCAUUAAUCAAGAACGAAAGUUAGGGGGAUCGAAGAUGAUUUAGAUACCAUCGUAGUCUUUAACCAUAAACUAUGCCGACUAGGGGAUUGGGUGGGAUGUUAUUUUUUUUGACACCAUCAGCAACCUUUAUGAGAAAUCAAAAGUCUUUGGGUUCCGGGGGGGAGUAUGGGUCGCAAGGCUGAAACUUUAAAGAAAUUGAACGGGAAGGCCACCACCAGGAGUGGAGCCUGCGGCUUAAAUUUGACUCAACACGGGAAAACUCACCAGGUCCAGACAUAGUGAGGAUUGACAGAUUGAGAGCUCUUUCUUGAUUCUAUGGGUGGUGGUGCAUGGCCGUUC